CCUACGAGAGGAGGCCAGAAAGGUGCUGUGGGGCCCAGGAGCUGUGACACUGGGCAUCAGACUCAAGGGCAUCUUGGUGGAGCCUCCCCUGUACAUGGCAUCCGAGGGCCCACAGACUCCUGAAACUAUCUCAGGGGCAUUGGAAAGAGGAUGCCUCAUGCCCACUGUCUGCCUCCUGCUCCACACCCUUCCUGAGCCUCAGUGGGAGGCUCUGGGGGAUCUGAAAACAGGAGAGCUAGGAAGACGAGCAGCCACAGAAGAGGCAAAUGGGGGCCAUUAUCACCUGACGCCUUCACCCAACCAGCCCAACUGCCCAGCUACCAAUUCUGGCUCCGAUGGGCCCCUGGGUUUGGUUGGUGGCCACUGUAGUCACCCUCCCCUGUGGCAGGAGACUGGAUUCGGGGGCCUCUGAUCUUUCCUGUGAGCCCCAUGGAUCUCCUGUCCUGGGAUUUGUUCAAAUCCCUCUAGAGCCUCCUUAGACCCUUAGCCUGUAGGCCACCUUGGAGACCUUGUGGGAACCUUACCCAUCCUGCAUGACUGUGACUGUGUCCAGCCAGCUGAAAGUAUUCGGCACGGCCCUGUUCCAUAGGGUGAUCUUCUCCGUCGUCACCUCCACCUGGAUGUCCAUCUGAGCAUUGGCAAUGCCCAGUUUUCCAAAGUAAGUCUUUCUGGUCUUGGAGUCAGGGCUGCCUCUCUUGUCACCAACAAUCUGUCCAUUAACUGUGAGGCCUGCCAGAGGGAUGGGGCAGGGAGAGAGACCAGCGAGAACUUCUGAAUCCAGAUUGCCUUUAGGGGUGUGCCUUCCCCUUCAACUAGGCUGAGUGAGGGGCAGCAGAGUGGGGGCAACGAGAGAGACCAGGACUUCAGAGCCCAAGCCUGUUCCUUCCUAGACAUGCUAGGUUUGGAUCACGCUGGGACACUGUGGCUCUGCCUCUUGCCUGAGCCAGGGAGUGUUCUUCAGGGAAAAACUCUCCCCAGACAUAGGCUGGGCCCUACCCCAGACCCAGGCAGCUCAUUCACUCUAAUCACCUCCCAAGAGCACUGGCGUGUGGGGGCUCAGCGAGCCUGUGGACCUGGGCACUCGCCUCCCCCAGGGGUUUCUCUGCAUGUGAAGAUGAUUCCUUACUGGGCAGAGUGAGAACCUGAUCCAUGUGCCCACUUGGGGGUCCCAAGCCCUCCCAGAAAGAGCCCCUUGGCCCCGGCCCCAGCCCACAAGCCUCACCUGUGACAGGGUCCUGAAUAAGGCGCAGCACUGUGCCUGGGUCUUCGUCGAUGUUGAAGCAGAGGGUGUCGUCUUUCUCCGGAACUUGGAUGAUGAAGUGGGGGUCCCCAUCCACUGGUGACACAUUAGAGAAGGGGCUGGCUCCCGGGGCCUCUCACCAUACCUGGAGCCUCCCCCAGCCUCCUGGCCUCUGUGGGCUGGACUCCAAGAGAGGCAGGAGCACAUGCCCAGGGUCCUGAGCCUUUCCUGGGAGCAGCUGGGGACUCACCAUAGUAGUAGGGGUUUUGAGGAGGCUGGUAGCUGGCUGUGGAGGCAAAGGGAGGAGGAGCUGAGCUAAGCAAGCUCAGGGAGGUGCCCAGCCCGCACCGGAGUUCAGCUCGUGCCCCUUGCCUUCCCUCUCCCUAAUGCCAUUGCCCUCCCACCCCUCAGUCUCCUCAGGACACAUUGUCCAUAUUGUCCAUCUGCCUGUCCUGGAGAGCUGAGUGAGUAGCCACCUCGGAGGGGCACAUGGCAGGGGCAGGCUCUGGGCAGAGGACGGAGGAGCAGCGGCCAGCAUGUACUCACUCAGGUAGGUCAUGGCGGGGCUCACCGGUGUGGCUUAAAAGAAGCCAAAGGGCAGCCAUGAGCAGGAUCUAGGGGUUCCCUCUCCCCCAGCCCCGUGCCUUCUGCCUGUCUUAGUGCUGCUGCACCCCAGAGGGACCCCAACACUGGCAGAUAGAGGUGGAGAUGUGACCCCAAAGCUUAGGCUUUAGAAAUGGGGCACAUCCAGGGAAGUCCUUUAUGGGACUAGUGGCAAGGGGAGUGUGGUUCCCAUGCUGGGGCAGGGCAUUUUAAUGUGGCUGAAAUACAAGCCGUUAAGUCAUCAGCUUCUCUCUCUUGAGUAAUGCUCACAGCAUACACCUGCCCCACCCCUGAGCUCCCUACCCCCUAGUUGGGAUGAGUAAGACUCACCGCUGUCUGUUACUUCCCACACUUGCACACACACACACGUGUACGCACACACACUGGUACAUGUCCAAACAUGCCCCCCUUAUAGAUGGAAGUGGGACAGGCCAGGCCAGUAGGGGUUGGGGGGCCCUGCCUAGAGACAGGGAGUCUGUGAGGUUCCAAUUUUGUGUGAGAGAGGCGCAGAGGACUGUGAUCCCCAGCAAUCCCCAGCAUAGGCAUUGGGGCCAGACUGCCUUGGCCUAAGUGCCAGCUUGGCUGUCUGCUGAGUCUGUGAGCAAAUAGACUGAGCAAAUUAACCCCCUGUGCCUCAAUUUCCCCGAUCACAAAAGGACCCUCUUGGAGGAUUGCUAUGGGAUCAAUGGAGUAUAAGUGGCUGACAUGCUAACUGGCUCAUUUUUGCAGGUCACAAAUACUGUUAUACUGAUUGUCUCUCCUUGGGCAGGGGAAGCCACCCCCAAUUAACUUACAGGGAUCCUCAGGCUCAGAGAGGGGCAGAGUCAUGAUUUGGAAAUAGGGCUGGGCCUCAGUCUAGGUGUCCCAACUGUGCCCCUGUGGCUGGGGGUCCUAUCUUGCUUGGAAAGGCCUCCUCAAUUCUCUCUUGUCUCCUUUCCAUAAUCCCCACCUGGUAGCUGGCUAAAGCUUACCUUCUGCAUAUGCAGGUGCAGCGAGGAAGGAAGAGGAGAAAUGCAUUAGAAGCCAAAGAGCACUGGUGAGCAGGGACGAGCUGGCUGCUUGGCCAAGCAGCCCCAGGUCUUGGGCCUCCCAGCAGCCAGCUGUUCCCCCAUUGGGUGUCCCCUGGAACUAGGAGUUCCUGGAAGCCAGAGGCCUGGGCUGGCUGGGCCCAGCAAUUUGCCUCCCGUGUCUCCCAAUGCCAUCCCUCCCCCACCACACACAGACCCUGUGCCCAGUGGCAGUGGGCAUUUGGGACCUCCUAUUGAGUAGGGCAGUCUGGGGUCUGGUUGAGGGGUCCCAGCCUCCAGCUCUCAGGGACUCUUCCCCUAACAAUCUCCAGGCGCCUAGUAGUGUGCUCCAGGCCUGACUUUCAUGUUGGAAGUGCUUCUUCUUGUCUAACUAAGCCCCUCCAUGCUGUAGCCUCAGCCCUUUUCCUUGAAAUGUCCCUGGGCAGUGUGCCCCCUUUACUCACAUCCCUUUAGAGGUACAGAGGCUCCUAUUCACCCCCCACCCCACUGUCCAUGCUGACUGUUUCAUGCUCCACCCCGCUUUCCCCAGUCCCCCUUCGGCAGAUCUGGGUCUCUCCAGCCCAGCCCACUCCUCCACUGGACACCCAGGGAGGGUGCCCAGCGCAGGGUCCUAGAGGGAGGCCUCCAGGUUGCAGCCUCCAUCCCUAUCCCCACCUUCCCCAGGCUUGUCAGCGAUGGCCGGCUCAUCCUCAUUGUCCUCAGGCUUGGUCACCACCAUGGAGGUCAGUGGAG